ACGAACGCUGGCGGCGUGCUUAACCCCUGCAAGUCGCACGGAAAGGCCCUGCUUUUGUGGGGUGCUCGAGCGGCGAACGGGUGAGUAACACGUGAGUAACCUGCCCUUGACUUUGGGAUAACUUCAGGAAACUGGGGCUAAUACCGGAUAGGAGCUCCUGCUGCAUGGUGGGGGUUGGAAAGUUUCGGCGGUUGGGGAUGGACUCGCGGCUUAUCAGCUUGUUGGUGGGGUAGUGGCUUACCAAGGCUUUGACGGGUAGCCGGCCUGAGAGGGUGACCGGCCACAUUGGGACUGAGAUACGGCCCAGACUCCUACGGGAGGCAGCAGUGGGGAAUAUUGCACAAUGGGCGGAAGCCUGAUGCAGCAACGCCGCGUGCGGGAUGACGGCCUUCGGGUUGUAAACCGCUUUCGCCUGUGACGAAGCGUGAGUGACGGUAAUGGGUAAAGAAGCACCGGCUAACUACGUG
rnacentral:rRNA from 1 species